GAUGAAGAACGUAGCGAAAUGCGAUAAGUAAUGUGAAUUGCAGAAUUCAGUGAAUCAUCGAAUCUUUGAACGCACAUUGCGCCCCUUGGUAUUCCGAGGGGCAUGCCUGUUCGAGCGUCAUUAUAACCCCUCAAGCUCAGCUUGGUGUUGGGGCCUGCUGCACUGGCAGCCCUUAAAAUCAGUGGCGGCGCCAUCUGGCUCUAAGCGUAGUAAUUCUUCUCGCUAUGGAGUCCUGGUGGAUGCUUGCCAUCAACCCCCAAUUUUUCUAUGGUUGACCUCGGAUCAGGUAGGGAUAUCCGCUGAACUUAAGCAUAUCAAUAAGCGGAGGA
rnacentral:misc_RNA from 1 species